CCGGUCUGGUCGGUUGCGCGCGCGGCACGAACGGCUCUGCUACGUUUCAGCUAGACGGGGAAUCCGUUCGUCGCGAUCCGCUUUGCAUUUUUACUUACACAAAAACGAGAUUUGCACGCGGUGAAUCUUGCGGAGAAAGAAAUACAAGGGGGAGAAAGGGAGAAAAGGAGACUUCUCGGCUGGAAGACGAGAAGAGCGAAUACUUUUAACGAGCGGUGACACGCGAGCCACGUUCGUCACGAAAAUUUCACGUACACCAGAGCAAAUGGAAGAAGAAAUUACUGGGGCCCGCUAAUGACACCGUGGCCGGAUAAUGUGCGCCGAGCAACGUGCUUUAGCGACUGUAAUUCGAGCUAAUCGUUACGCGACGAGCGUGCGGACAAGAGGGUGCCGUUUUUUUGUACACCGUUUCUGUGCCAAUGUUUCGCGCGAGAAUGCUGCUUCGUCGCAUUGAAUAUCGUUCAACGGCUUUAAUCGUAAAAUAUUACUAUUCGUUGUUUUAAAUAUACGGGGUUUAAAAAGAUCGACCGGACAAGAUCUCCGUUUUUCAUAUUUUACGUUUUUUUACAUUCGAUAUGUGAAAUUCUUUAUUAAUGUUACAGAAUUUUUUUUUCAUUUCGUAAUUUAACGGCAUUUCAUAGCUAAUGAAUUAAAAAUCGGUAAAAUUAGAACGAAUUAAUCGAUAUAUGGAUAUUAUAAUUGUAUAUUUCUAUCAAAUUUUAUCAAUUUUCUCGCAAUCAGUGCAAAAAAAAAAUUUUUUUAAACGUCGAUUUCCAUAAUGAAAAUUUAUAAAAACGCAUAUUAAAUAAACGUGUAAUUACGGAAUUAAUUUACCGCUUUACUUCGUUAAUUCAUGAUCGCAAAAUCGUAUAUGAAGCAUCAAGAUUGUUCAUCUGUAGAGAUACAAAAAUUUGUGUCUCAUGAUUCGAUUUGUGUGAUGUUACAAAUCGCAGAAUCAUAAAGAAAAAAUGAAAAAUGCAGAAAAAACACAUUAAGAAAAAUCAAAAAUUUUCUUUAGCCCUAUUUUUAAAAAUUUUUUUUUCUUCUUUCUUUCGUCCUCAAAGCGCCAAUUCUCGAUUGAUCAUCAGAAAUAGCGUAUUAAUCCGACGAAUUCUUGUAAAAAUUCUGUUGUAUGGUUAAUUCAAUGAUUCAAAUUGAUAUAAAGAAUUUAUAAAAGAAAAUAAAAAUAAUUAAUUAAAAAUCAGAGUGGAAUCACUGGAAAGAAAUAUUUGUCAUCGCUUGUCAUCGAAGUGGAGCACUCGAUACGAAAUUCCUUGCUUCGCUAUCUUCUGACAUAUCGACGACGUAUUUAUAAUAGAUAAGUCUGCAAUAAAAAUAUUUUCGUCCG